GGAAAGUUGGCAGUGGACGAACGCCUCGCCAACCCGGUCAGAUCGGGAACGAAGCAGCCGUAACGAGUUUUGUUUGGGUCGUUGUCCAACUUUCCACU
rnacentral:SRP_RNA from 1 species